rnacentral:rRNA from 3 species
UCGUGGUGACCUGCGGAGGAUCAUUA